UGGCUCAGUUGGUAGAGCAUGGUGUUUGCAACGUGUUUGCAACGCCAGGGUUGUGGGUUCGAUUCCCAC
rfam:Salmo salar isolate Sally breed double haploid chromosome ssa26, whole genome shotgun sequence.